AUUGAACGCUGGCGGCAUGCUUUACACAUGCAAGUCGAACGGUAACAGGCCUUCGGGUGCUGACGAGUGGCGAACGGGUGAGUAAUGCAUCGGAACGUACCCAGAGGUGGGGGAUAACGCAGCGAAAGCUGUGCUAAUACCGCAUGUGAUCUGAGGAUGAAAGCGGGGGACCGAGCAGCAAUGUUUGGCCUCGCGCCUUUGGAGCGGCCGAUGUCGGAUUAGCUAGUAGGUGGGGUAAAGGCCUACCAAGGCGACGAUCCGUAGCUGGUCUGAGAGGACGACCAGCCACACUGGGACUGAGAAACGGCCCAGACUCCUACGGGAGGCAGCAGUGGGGAAUUUUGGACAAUGGGCGCAAGCCUGAUCCAGCAAUGCCGCGUGCGGGAAGAAGGCCUUCGGGUUGUAAACCGCUUUUGGCAGGAACGAAACGGUGUCCGCUAAUACCGGGCGCUAAUGACGGUACCUGCAGAAUAAGCACCGGCUAACUACGUG
rnacentral:rRNA from 1 species